GACCUCAAGUGAUCCACCCACCUCGGCCUCCCAAAGUGCUGGGAUUACAGGGUGAUACUAUUUCACACAUUUCUAUCACCAGAUGAUGUCUUUCUCUCUUGCAUUCUGAACUUACAUAGUUAACGUUUACCUGGUCAUCUGUACCCAGCUAUGUCCUAAGUCCAAAAUUUAACUCAUUAACGUAUCCCCUAAAACAAUCUCCCCUCCUUGAUUCCCUGUUCUGAUGACUUCUAUUUCUAUCUACCCAACCUCCCAAAUCAGAUGCCUGAGAGUCAUUGUAAACUCCUUUCUCUCCUUGACUCUCCACAACCAAUCCCCAAACACUUCCCUUCUCUUUCCUAGAUAUUUUUCAUGUUCUUAUCCAAAUUGGAAGGCUUAUGAAAAAGGGUCACUAUUAGUAAUAAUGCCAAGAUAACCAGUGUAAACCAGUAUGAUUCUGGGCAAACAGCAAUGUAUGAUUAGCCUAAUGUUGAGAAACAGAAAUAAUUCAUUCCAGAGUGGUUUCAGAAAGCACAUUGCUCUCGAAGAACUGAGAGAAUUACAGUCUGCUUAGUCUAGGGUGUGUGAUGCAGACUUACACAGUGAGAGAUGAAGCUGGAAAGGUCAUUGCAAUACCAGAUUCUGCAGGUGUAAAAUAUUUCUCACCUUGAAAUUAUCCAUGAGUGGUAAACAGUACUGGUUGUUUGCUUAGAAUUAAUUUUCUUUCCUUCCUAGCAAAAGCCAUCUCCCAUGUAACCACAUACUUCAGGAGAAGCUGACCCUACACCCAGCUCUACUAGUGAGUCUAAUUUGUCCAAGGGUCUUCUUUUCCCUUUGCUAGAGAUUGGCUCAUGGGUCAAAUGAUCCAACUCCAGCCAAUGAAACAUUAGGGGAGUCUGCUGGAGGAUUUCCAAAAAGAGUUUCCUCAUUCCAAACAGAAAACCAUAAGAAAGGAAUGUCAUGCCUAUAAUUGCUGCAGCUAUUUUAAUUCCAAGUAUGAGGUUGAAACAAUCAUGGAUGGCCAAGUGAAGAGAUGGAAAAAGCAGGAUUCAGGAUAACUUUGUGAGUUGCUAAGUUACCAACCCCUGCCCUACUUCUGGACUUCUGAAAUAUGAAAUGAUACUUGCUUUGUUACUUAAGUCAGGAUUUUCUGUUACUUAUAGCCAAUGACACUCUGAUAUGCCAUGAAAUUUAAGAAUGUGAAGUAAUGGCCUUGACUUUCACAGAACUGGAAGGAGUGUGACUGCCAUGUCACUUACUGUCACUAUCACUUGUUUGACAAUUACAGCUGCUAUUUAUCUUACCUUGUGUUGUUGCUUAUUUUUCUAUGUGAUUAUGUUGAAUAUGCAUCUAAUCUGGAACUUCAAAGAAUCAGUUAGAGAUAGAUCUUACUUCUUUGUAGGCCCAUAAUCCAUUACAUAACCCACACAUUUUUGUCAAUUAUUGACUUCCCCCUUAUUCUACCCACAUAGAUUUUUUUGGAAGAUGACCAAAAUGCUAUCUCUAUUUGGAGAUAAUAAUUAGUCUCAUCUUCAUUGGCUUCCUCUUGAAUGCGGAGGGAAUUAUCGGAUGAGUACAUUGGAACAUGGUCGCCAUGUGGCCUGCUGCCCCCAUGUACCACUUGGAGACCAGCCUAGCAUGGAAAUGACCAGAUGUUGGAAGCUGAGCUACUGUUUUCUGGGAAGUUUGCUGCCAUGUUUUGAACUGCUGUAUGGAGAAUGCAACAUGGCUAGGAAUAUGAGAGAGCCAACAGGACAAUGAGGCCCUCAAUACAGCAAGAAACCAAAUCCUGCCAACAACCAUUUCUCAGAUUUUGAAGACCAGGACUCCUCAUGAAUCUGUCAGCCCCCCUCAGCCCAGCUCUGGGCCUCUCUGUCACCACCACUGCCACCUCGUCAUUAUCCUAUUUCAUGCCAGUCACUGGACUAACAGGCUUUAUCACAUUUAAUUCCUUCAACAACACCAAGAGGAGCCUGUCAGGCCUCUGAGCCUAAGCCAAGCCAUCGCAUC